UCCGGGUUGGUCCCGGCGGUCCCGCCAGACUUCGUAACUGGCGGCGGGGGUUGCGCUCGUUGCGGGACUUAACCCAACACCUCACGGCACGAGCUGACGACAGCCGUGCAGCACCUGUGCAGGCUCCCUCGCGGGUCCCCUCGGUUUCCCUCGGGUACCACCUGCAUGUCAAGCCCGGGUAAGGUUCUUCGCGUUGCAUCGAAUUAAACCACACGCUCCGCUGCUUGUGCGGGCCCCCGUCAAUUCCUUUGAGUUUUAGCCUUGCGGCCGUAGUCCCCAGGCGGGGCGCUUAGUGCGUUAGCUGCGGCACCGGGGGGGUCGAUACCCCCGACACCUAGCGCCCAUCGUUUACGGCGUGGACUAC
rnacentral:misc_RNA from 1 species